AGACAUGGACGACGCGGGUCAAAGUGUAGUAUAUGUUCUUAUCAACUUUAUAUCUGAUACGGGUUGUAUUUUUACCUAAGAUAUUAAACGUAUUAUUGCAAGUUGGCGAAGUGCUUGAAGCCUGCUUCACCUCUGCCGCGGGUCGGCCCGGUAUUGCACUAUCUUCGGUAUCGGGCGCCGUUUU
rnacentral:snRNA from 1 species